AUGUACAUCAAGAUUGAGACAAUGAGGCUUGACUGGUAUUCAAAGCCAGCAAAUCAAAAGGUUAUACGCGCUGACCUGUACCAGGGUCUUGUUGACACUGUCGUUGCCGGCGAGUCACGCGGUGAUCGGAUUGGCAAGAGAAUCGUACUUCCACGUACAUUUCUUGGUGGUGACUGUGACAUGCAGCGCAGGUUUCUGGAUGCGAUGGCAAUAGUUCAACAUUGGGGUAAACCGGAUUAUUUUGUCACGAUGACAUGCAAUCCCUACUGGGAGGAGAUAACGCAGAAAUUGUUGCCUGGACAGCUGCCACAAGACCGCCCAGACCUUGUGGCAAGAGUAUACAGAGCUAAGCAACGAAAUAUGAUGGACUUACUAACUAAGGGUAAGCAUUUCGGAGAAGUCGCAGCUUAUGUACAUGUCACAGAGUUUCAGAAGCGAGGUCUCCCGCAUGAGCAUAUACUUCUAAUCAUGAAAGCAAAAAGCAAGUUAAGGACCCCAGAUGACUAUGAUCGGGUGUAUCUGUAG
rnacentral:rRNA from 1 species